CAGGAACACAGCCUGUCUCGGGUGAAAGUGAAGGAACAUCCUGGGAAGCAUCAGGCACGUAACACAGAUGACAGAGUCCAGGGGCACACAGCCUGAAGCAAGUGAUGUGGCCACAUCUAGCAUUCCAGGCACCAGUGAAACACAGAGCACUG